GGUGUAACACCACUAAUUCGGGCUCGGCCAGAAAGCACAUACAAGAAAGUAGUACAUAUUUAACACAAAAUAGUUCCUACGCAUGAGUGUAACUUUCAAAAUAUGUAGAAUAUUUAGGUAUUUUUGGUAUCAAAUGAAAGCUGAAGGACUGAUGAUCAUUGUAAAACACUUUUGGACUUUUAAUUUUGAAUAUUAAAAAAACUGCACCAAAUUUUAAAAAGAGGGUACAUUUUGUCUGUUUGUCAGUUCUGAAGUACCUGUACAUCCUAAGUUCUGGGAACCAGUUCUUUUUUAUAUGCCAUUAAAGGUAUGUUGAUUUUUUCAGUACAAGACACCAUAAAGUGUUGCUUUGCAAUGCAAUGAUUGCCACUUUAUUUGAACUUAAAACAAAAGAGGUGUGCCUGCUUGAAACGGAGGAAUUUAACAUAGAAAGCAAUGGGACCAUGAAUUAGUGGUGUACUUCCUAUUACAGAGAAUCAUCAGAAAUCCAAUUUUUAGAAGUUGUACCUAUUCCAAUGAAAAUAAGUCAAAU
rnacentral:lncRNA from 1 species